CAUUGGAUAGCUUAAAGCAAAGCGUUAACCUUUUAAGUUAAUGAUAAGUACCAGACUUUUCAGUGA
rnacentral:tRNA from 1 species